GGAGUCUCCUGAGGUGACAGGAAGAGAGAUGCUGUGAGGAGUGGUGCUCUGAGACUUUUUUGGACAUUCUUUCGGAUUAUAACUGGCUACUCUGGAGGAUUGGACCCAUCAGAAAUUUCAGAAAGGAGAGACAGCACCUAUCAAACCUCUUUCAUGAAAUUGCCAUAGGAAAUAAAGGUGGACCACAUGUGGAACGCAGCUGGAAUGCAAAGUAGAACGCAUUUACAGGAACUGCGGUGGGCAUGUUACUUCCGGCUACCAGAAUAAGUCAUUUCCUGUUAUGAGAUUAUGGGGACACUGCAGGAAACAGCAUUAUAAGGGGUAGGAGGCUGUCUUGGUAAAAAGGGGUAUUAUACAGCCUUGCACACACCUCACCAUGCUUCUGAUGAAGGAACAGGAGGUGUGAAAAGUGUAAAGUGGGUGACUGUGUUGAAAAAGGGGAAUGCUGAAGGGAUGUCCAUUACUGUUCCAGGGGUGUACCUGGCCCGUUUCCAAAAUCUGAGGGAUUAUUUGCACUAAUAACAGCUGUCAUGGUGAGAUGUGUGGCUCCGUGAAGUAAGCUGCUCCACAAGUCCACCUGAUGGUGGUUUGAUAUACUUUAAUUAUUUGUGAAAUGUGAGUGCUUUGUAUUAAUAAAACUUUUAGGGGGAUAUCCAAUUAGCCCUGAUAAAUUAUCGGGCUAAUUGUCCCGCCGGGGGCUAGCUAAUUAGCCCCGAUAAGCCGCGGCAAGCGCUGGCUUAUCUGGCGAAGCAGAAUCCCCAGAAACAGACAGUUUUCGUCCGAAAAUGGGGCUGUUUCACAUGAAAACACACAGGUUUCACUGAACCUGUGUGUUUUCGGGAGAAGUUUUUUUUUUUUUUUUUUUUUACAGGCGAUCCAUCUGGAUAGCCUGUAAAAAAAAAUUGGUGAAACAUCGUAAAAAAAGUAGUUUUACCGGGGAUAAUUGGAUAUCCCCCUUAAUCUUAUAUGAAAGGUGUUGCACUACUUUUGUCCUUUUCUUAUUUUGCAUGUGAGCAAUACCAUUGUGACGAAAGGAGUGUGGGACUAUGAAGUUAUUGUAAUAAAGGAGGAUGAACUUCUCAGCAACACGGAUCCGCAGCGCUCAUUACACAGUACAUAAUGAAAUGAGCAAACAAGAAAACAGCACUUACAGUUCAAGACAAUAUAGUACAGGUAUGGAAAACUAUUAGGGUUUAGGUGCCAUCAAAGGGAAUAUGGAGUAUAAAAUAAUGUAAGUAAGAAAAGAUAAGGUACAUGAGGAAAGAAGGCCCUGCUCUUGCAAGUUUACAA